GAUGAAGAACGUAGCGAAAUGCGAUAAGUAAUGUGAAUUGCAGAAUUCAGUGAAUCAUCGAAUCUUUGAACGCACCUUGCGCCCUUUGGCCAUUCCGAAGGGCAUGCCUGUUUGAGUAUCAUGAACACCUCAACUCUUCAUGGUUUUCCGUGAUGAGCUUGGACUUUGGGGGUCUUGCUGGCCUAUGGUCAGCUCCUCUAAAAUAAAUCAGCUUACCAGUGUUUGGUGGGUAUCAUGGGUGUGAUAACUAUCUACGCUUGUGGUUUUUCCACCAGGUAACCUUCAGCAGUGGAGGUUCGCUGGAGCUCAUAGAUGUCUCUCCUCAGUGAGGACAGCCCUUUGAAUGUUUGAUCUCAAAUCAGGUAGGACUACCCGCUGAACUUAAGCAUAUCAAUAAGCGGAGGA
rnacentral:misc_RNA from 1 species